rnacentral:rRNA from 1 species
AUUGAACGCUGGCGGCAGGCCUAACACAUGCAAGUCGAGCGGAUGAAGGGAGCUUGCUCCUGGAUUCAGCGGCGGACGGGUGAGUAAUGCCUAGGAAUCUGCCUUGUAGUGGGGGAUAACGUCCGGAAACGGGCGCUAAUACCGCAUACGUCCUGAGGGAGAAAGUGGGGGAUCUUCGGACCUCACGCUAUCAGCUGAGCCUAGGUCGGAUUAGCUAGUUGGUGGGGUAAAGGCCUACCAAGGCGACGAUCCGUAACUGGUCUGAGAGGAUGAUCAGUCACACUGGAACUGAGACACGGUCCAGACUCCUACGGGAGGCAGCAGUGGGGAAUAUUGGACAAUGGGCGAAAGCCUGAUCCAGCCAUGCCGCGUGUGUGAAGAAGGUCUUCGGAUUGUAAAGCACUUUAAGUUGGGAGGAAGGGCAGUAAGUUAAUACCUGGCUGUUUUGACGUUACCAACAGAAUAAGCACCGGCUAACUUCGUG